GCUGGUUGGUGCCUGAAAUCUGUGCGUUGCCCCUUUAAUUGUGUCCCCAGCCCUCGGGCGUUUCUGUCCAACGCCCACGUCAGCAAAUACCUUUUGUUUCUCUCACGUUGGGGCUACUUGUUUUAGGGCGCAAAGGAACGGCCUCGAAAGGGGGUCCUUCCCCAACCGAGAACCAGGAAUCUUCCCUCGGCCCGCGCGCGCGACCGGCCGGUGCGCCGCGGCCCGCGGACAAUCCUCCAAACACAGACUGUUUGACUUAGAAUCUUCCCUUUUUACUCCAUUCAAGAGCAGCAUUCAUAAAUUUCCAG
rnacentral:lncRNA from 1 species